rnacentral:rRNA from 1 species
CCUACGGGAGGCAGCAGUGGGGAAUCUUCCGCAAUGGGCGAAAGCCUGACGGAGCAACGCCGCGUGAGUGACGAAGGCCUUCGGGUUGUAAAACUCUGUCUUCAGGGAAGAAGAAAGUGACGGUACCUGAGGAGGAAGCCCCGGCUAACUACGUGCCAGCAGCCGCGGUAAAACGUAGGGGGCGAGCGUUGUCCGGAAUUACUGGGCGUAAAGGGCGCGCAGGCGGUCUGUUAAGUCAGAGGUGAAAACUCCCGGCUCAACCGGGGGACUGCCUUUGAAACUGGCGGACUUGAGGGCAGGAGAGGGGAGUGGAAUUCCCGGUGUAGCGGUGAAAUGCGUAGAUAUCGGGAGGAAGGCCGGUGGCGAAGGCGGCCCUCUGGCGCUUGACUGACGCUGAGGCGCGAAAGCGUGGGGAGCAAACAGGAUUAGAUCCCCCGGUAGU